GAUAAUUCAACUUGCAAGUUUUAUAAAGGCCUGUACCUCAACCAGCAUAAAGCAAAUGAAUAUUAUCCAGUGGUCAUCAUUCCAGCUGGCGCCCGAAGCAUCGAAAUCCAGGAGCUGCACGUUUCCUCCAGUUACCUCGCAGUUCGAAGCCUCAGUCAAAAGUAUUACCUCACUGGGGGCUGGAGCAUCGACUGGCCCGGGGAGUUCCCCUUCGCUGGGACCAUGUUUGAAUACCAGCGCUCCUUCAACCUCCCGGAACGUCUGUACGCGCCAGGGCCCACAAAUGAGACGCUGGUCUUCGAAAUUCUGAUGCAAGGCAAAAAUCCAGGGAUAGCUUGGAAGUAUGCACUUCCCAAGGUCGUGAAUGGAACUCCACCAGCCACAAAAAGACCUGCUUAUGCCUGGAGUAUCGUGCAGUCAGAGUGCUCCGUCUCCUGCGGUGGAGGUAGAUGAUUUUCUCAUUCUGUCUUCCAAGUCUGUCUCUCUUAAAACAGGUUUUUUCACUCCAGGCAUCUUUAACACAAUAUGGUUUAAAUAAGCCACCCAAGAACUGUCUUUUAUAAGAACCAUCACCAUAAAAGCAAAUAUUAUGGCAUUAGUUAAGGGUUUUCCUAUGUGGUAAGGAAUCAAGUCUCACAAAGCUCAAAUCAACCACAACCAAGGCUCAAA
rnacentral:sRNA from 1 species